rnacentral:rRNA from 1 species
GACGAACGCUGGCGGCGUGGAUUAGGCAUGCAAGUCGAACGGUAUCAUCCUUUCGGGGGUGAGAGAGUGGCGAACUGGUGAGUAACACGUAGGUUAUCUACCCUCAAGACGGGGACAACCCAGGGAAACUUGGGCUAAUACCGGAUGUGAGCAACUUUUAGUUGUUUGAAAGGUGGCGUAAGCUGUCGCUUGGGGAUGAGCCUGCGUCCUAUUAGUUAGUUGGUGAGGUAACGGCUCACCUAGGCAAUGAUAGGUAGGCGGCCUUAACGGGUGGUCGCCCACACUGGGAUUGAGAUACGGCCCAGACUCCUACGGGAGGCAGCAGUGGGGAAUAUUGCACAAUGGGCGAAAGCCUGAUGCAGCGACGCCGCGUGAGGGAUGAAGGCCUUCGGGUUGGUAAACCUACUUUCUAGUAGGGAAGGAAGACGCAAGUGACGGUACCGUACAGAAGAAGACACCGGCUAACUAACGUGCCAGCAGCCGCGGUAAACUACGUCUCUA